rfam:Ornithorhynchus anatinus chromosome 3, whole genome shotgun sequence.
GGCAGCGUGGCUCAGCGGAAAGAGCCCGGGCCUGGGAGUCCGCGGUCACGCGUUCGAAUCCCGGCUCUGCCG